UACGUAGGGUGCGAGCGUUGUCCGGAAUUACUGGGCGUAAAGCGUGCGCAGGCGGCUUUGCAAGACAGAUGUGAAAUCCCCGGGCUUAACCUGGGAACUGCAUUUGUGACUGCAUAGCUAGAGUACGGUAGAGGGGGAUGGAAUUCCGCGUGUAGCAGUGAAAUGCGUAGAUAUGCGGAGGAACACCGAUGGCGAAGGCAAUCCCCUGGACCUGUACUGACGCUCAUGCACGAAAGCGUGGGGAGCAAACAGG
rnacentral:rRNA from 1 species